CUGUGACCCAGCCACAGGCCAGUGCUCCUGCCGCCCAGGUGUGGGGGGCCUCAGGUGUGACCGCUGUGAGCCUGGCUUCUGGAACUUUCGAGGCAUCGUCACCGAUGGCCGGAGUGGCUGUACACCCUGCAGCUGUGAUCCCCAAGGCGCCGUGCGGGAUGACUGUGAGCAGAUGACGGGGCUGUGCUCGUGUAAGCCCGGGGUGGCUGGACCCAAGUGUGGGCAGUGUCCAGACGGCCGUGCCCUGGGCCCCGCGGGCUGUGAAGCCGACGCUUCUGCGCCUGCGACCUGUGCGGAGAUGCGCUGUGAGUUCGGUGCGCGGUGCGUGGAGGAGUCUGGCUCAGCCCACUGUGUCUGCCCGAUGCUCACCUGUCCAGAGGCCAACGCUACCAAGGUGAGGGGUGUGGGAUGUGAAGGGGAGUGGGGAGGAGGCCUCGCCUUGAAUAUCCUUGUUCUCUGCCCCAGGUCUGUGGGUCAGAUGGAGUCACGUACGGCAACGAGUGUCAGCUGAAGACCAUCGCCUGCCGCCAGGGCCUGCAAAUCUCUAUCCAGAGCCUGGGCCCGUGCCAGGGUGAGGCCUGACGGCCACUGCCCCAGAACUGACCAGGAAGGCCUGACGCUGCCCUAAAUCCAGCCCCACCCGCCCUGAGCCACC
rnacentral:sRNA from 1 species